GCAGUAAUCUGGGUGAGAAGAUGAUAGUUGUGCCAGGGUUUCAGCAGUAAAUAUAGUAGUGGUGGUUGGGUUAGGGACAGGCCAAUAGGACUUACUGACACCUUGGAAGUGAAGAGUAAGAAAAAGAGAGAGAUAAAUAAUGGAAAGCCUCAUUCCUCCAAACUAAAACAUGGCAAUGCAAUUCAUCUGCUCUCUUCAUCCCAGAAAGAACUCUGCCAUCUUCCCUACCCUACCUACCACUACUGUCAUAGGAAUAGAGCAUGAGAGACCAAAUCUCCAGAAGGAAGAGAAGAAGACCUUAUGCCUCCAAUGUCUUCAUUCCUUGACCACUUUCCUCAUGGUCAGGUGAAUUCCUACUGAAAUCCUCUUUCCGGCUCUUCUAUCCCUAACAGAUGAAAUCAACCUACUGAAAUCCAGGUCUACUAGUGAAAUAAAACUAGGCAUAUUUUUUCACUGGAUGAACAUACAGCAUGAAGACAGGCACAUAUUCUGCUUGAUAAUUUCCUGUUCUGUACUUUUAACAUUUAUUUUAAAACCCUGCUUAUCCUGGAGCAAUCUAUUUCUCCAACCAAACAUGAAGCAAAUGUCUACUGUUUCCUGCGUUCCUUGUUUAGAGGGCCAGAGGUAUUAAGAUCCAGAAACAUGAUUGAGGAAAUUCCAUUUAAUUGAUAGUUUAUUGGUUGCAAAACUAUAAGCUCAUUGGAAGUAGGAAAUGUAUCUUACUGGACUUGACAUCUCCCAGAGCCCCUGGUAGAAGCUGCUGUUCAUGUUGAGCCCUCAAUGCUAUUGGGCUGAAAAAUGUUAUAAGAAUUAUCAUCUGUUUCCUAGAUGAAGAAGAGUUCAGAAUAUCCUUGAAAUAUUUAACUUCUGCAGAAAAGUGCAUGCUGUAUCAGUUUAAAAUACUAUGUAAUAUUGAUGUAGAGUUUUUCCAGUUAUGACUAGACUCUUCAUCCUAGCUUUCAAAGACUCAAUCCAGUGUCCACAAUUCACCUUGUUCAUCUUAUUUUGAGCAAUUAUGUCAUUUGGAGUCCAUUCCUCAAAUGUUCUGUUGUCCAUAACAUCCUCCUGUAUAUGAAUCCUACCUAAACUAUAUGUUCUUUUAAAAUAAAGAUCAAACUUUUAUUUAUUCAUCUUUAUAUAUCUUUUUCUAAGUUGCUCAACUGAGUUUGUGGAAAGUUUUUGAGAGAGAUUAAAGCAAACCAUUCAUGCUACAAAAGAGCAAAACGAAAGAUAAUUAAAGUAUUAAGAUCAAAGAAAAGGGGAUAUUGCAAAAAAUGCCAAAUGGAAGGCUCAACAUUAUUGAUUCAGUUUCAAUCUUGGGUCUGAGCAUCCUAAAAGCCAAUGGGUAAAAGAAAAUAGGAAUUGUCCUAGUUCUUAUCAGAAAGAAGCAAGCAGAACAGGUCUAAAAAAGCUAUGCCUAGUAUGAUUCUCACAAGGGAUUCUGUAAUGAGGGAUGCAAUUAGCAUUUCACAGAAAAUACAUUUAGAAAUUGUGUAUGCUGUUUCCUACAAGUCCUUCCAAAAAUGGUGAUGGCCAUGUCCUUUUAUCACUAAUGUACUGCAAACUAACAGCUGCUAGAUAAAUGUUAUCAGUGUUGACAACUCUGGGUGCACAUCUGUGUUUAAGCAAAAUGUUCCUUUUUUGGGAAUACUCUUCUCCAGUACCUUCAUGAUUUGAACCUUAUCUAUUCUUCCAGGCUCAGCCCAAAACUCAAACCUGACCUCCAUGAAGACUUCCUUCCUCAUGUUGAUUUUCUUACUCUGCAUUAAUGUGAGAGUUCUGCAUACGGAACUUAGUGUUUUUGUUUAAACAUUGUUUUAGAGUUGCUCAGUAAGUAUGCCUUUCCCUUCAACUAGCUGGUAUGAAACAUUAAAGAUGGCUGCAAUUUCUUUUGUACUUCUCUCAUGGAGAAGAAGAGUCUAAUUAUCCUCCCAUUGAAUCUGGGCUGGCCUUGGUGACUUGCUUGACCAAUAGAAUAUGGUAGAAGUAAUGUCAUGGCAAUUCAGGCUUAUCUUCUCAGACAACUAGCACAUUCUCUCUGGACUUCUUAGAACCCUGAUGUGCCAUGUUGUAGAAAUUCUAAGCCAUGAGAAAAAGCCACAUGCAGGUACUUUUGUUAACAGUCGCAACUGAGCCUAGCCUUCCAUCCAUCUAUUUUAUGAACUAGGCCUAUGCUGAAGCUGUCCUGGGCUCUCUAGACAGUCCAUCAACCAGCUGACCACCACCAAGUGACCUCCAUCAAUGCCAUCCGGAACUAAAGAAUUCUCAUCCAAUUCCUGCCUGAAUUCCUAUAGAAUCUUGAAAUCGAAUGAAAUGUUGAUUGUUGUAAGACAUUAAAUCUUGGGAUUAUUUGUUAUGUAACAAUUGAUAGCAAAUCAGUCAUAAGCAUCCAGAGGCUAUUUGUUGAAGCGAUUGGAUAAAUGAAGUAGAAUACAUGAUGUAAAUCUAAAUCAUGUAUUUUACUUCAUUUACCCAUUCACUUCAACACAGAGCUGUGGAAUACCCACCAUGUACAAGGCAAUGUUGUAGGAGCUGGAGAUAAAAUGAAAUGAAUGAGACAAAUAUCUCUGUCACACUAGUAGGGGAGACAAAGAAUGAACAUGAAAACAAAUAAUGUUAUUAAAUACUUUUGUAAUAUCCAAAUUGCCAGGGACAGCGCUAACUAUAGAAAGUAGUGACUAAUGAAGGCUGCAUUUCUAUGCACACACAACACAGCUAAAUGUGUCAUUCCCAACUUUACCUAAAAAAAAGCAAACAAAGAAACUUAACUGAAUCCAAGCAUUUAGUAGACUAAGUUACUAACAAGACAAGUCAGAUAAGCCAGAGAGGUUUAUAAACAACACAUUUCUAGUACAAAUGGGUAUAAUGAAAAGAUGUUUACCUGUUUUUUUUUUUUUUCUGAAAAGCAGUGUCUUCUUUGCCUUUGGAGUCCUAAAACUUUUAUUAGGAAAAAAGGGGGCAAACCCCCAGCUUUUCAGAAAUGUAGGUUAUUCCCUAACCAGCGUAGAAUGUAUUGCUCCAUAAAAUGUCAACAUCAAAACAGUAUAGAAAAAAUAAUUACAGACAGUAUUAGUGUUGUAAGCUGAUAAGGACCAGAUGGUCUUUUGUAUUUAUGGUUUUCCUUGUGCAUACAAAUGCUUUGGGGAUCUAAUUAGCCUUCUACAAAACUCAAACUGGGUAAUUACUAUCAUUAUCCCCUUUUCAAAUAAAUCUGAAGUCUAAACUGCAAUUAUGUUUUUUAUCUUACAUUUGGUAUUCGCACAUUUUAAGAAUUGUUCUUUGCCAUCUACUCAGAAAACUUCUUAACAUGGACUGAAGUAUAUAAAAUGCAGGAAGAUUAUCAAAAAAACACUUUUUGGAAAAAAUGGCUCACUCUGUUAGAGGAAAGUGCUGACAGCCAUGGAAGCAAGCACUUCCUCAACAAGUCCCGCCUCUGUCAUAUUUUCACUCCAAUCAAGAAGAAAGUCCCUCUUCCCCAAGACUUUAUAUUUCCAGUUAUGCUUUGCACAGCAAAAGAGAAGAAUCACUACAUGGAGACAUAACCAGUCACGCAUGUUAGAGAAAGGAUUCUCUGUGAGAUGCGAUGUGGCAGCCGCUUCAAUUAACUUCUGACUCUGCCCCCAAAGUGCAAUACCUGGGCCAGCAAUGAGCUAUGAAAAGGCAGCAGUGCGCAUAACAAGCCUGGUAUGUCAUCUUUAUGGGUUUUUUGGCCUCAGGACAGUCAAGUCACGUGGUAACAUCUCUGUAUUGCAAAGCAAAGGGGACGUAAUCACAUGUGUCCGUGAACUCAUAAUAGAAAAUUCAUAAAAGUCUAUCUCCAGUGAGAAGUAUGUGAAAAGGGGUGUUAGGAAGUGAACAUUUUAUUUUAGGCACAAGGCCAAGGAUCAGAGUUAUCGGGGGGGCGGGGUGGUAUGUGUGUCUUCCUCGAUAGAACAAAACACAGUGACAGGUAUCAGAAACUACUUCUUCCUCAGCAUCACCCAGUGAGGAAGUCAGGAAUAUUCAGGAUGUUGGCUUGACAUCUCAAAAUUUAGCAUUAUGAUUACUGAUCCAGGGGUCAAAAUCCAAAAAUAAUUGAUAGAGGGAACCCUCAGACCUGCAACUCAUGAACAUAAUUGAUAGAGAGAAAACCCAUGACCUGCAACUGAGCAGGGUACUUGGCACUAGGGAGGCACUUUUACUAAAAAGAGAUGCUAUAUGUCAAUGCAGGCUUCAGAGGCACCCCCACCCCUGGCCUGCCUGACAAAAGGAUGGCUCUGGGGCUGCCACCUUGGCCCCCGGCCCUGGAGACUGCCCUGGGCUGCCCUCGCAGGCAGCAGCAGAGGCACCCAGGCAUUGACAAGGAUGGCUGCAAGGUCAGCACUUUAUUCUCCCUGAUAUGAUGACAGUAACCUUUGCAAUGCACUGAAAAGAAUCUAGAAGGCAUGUAGCCAUUCUUUUAUCCAUUCAACAAAUAUUUACUAGGCAUCUACUUAGUGUGAUAAAUCACAUGAGGCAAUUUGUGCAAGUUCAGAUGUCAACAAAACAUUGGCCUUGGAAAUAUUGUCAGGUUCCAAUCAUAAAAGUCCCCUACCCAAUACCGUAUGAGAACAAAAGUGCUUAGGUGGCUUGGUGUGUUUGCACACAAGCAGUGGUAAAGUUUUUGCAUCUUAGGCUUCUGUGAGAGCCUGGGGUGUUUAUGGGCAGUGAUCACAAUUGGGGAAUUCAUAAUGCCAGGGACUGUCUUCAUCUAUCUCUGAGUGUAUAUAUCUCCUUGUAACAGCACCUUAAUAUUUGUACAGUCAUUUUUAUAGUUUACAGUGUAUCUUUACCCUCAUCAUCCUCCUUGUUGGAAGCAUAACAAGUGAUCUUAUCCCAAUUUCACAGAUGGACAAGAUGGAUGGGAGACAUUAAGGGACUUGCCCAAAGCUAUGCAGCAGUAAGAAUCCUAAGCAGGACUCACAUGCAGGUUUUCUCACUACAUGAAAAACCUACAAACUUUCUGGACACUGCACUGGCUGAUGAGGGUUUUUCCUGAAGCCUCUGAGCAGAAGUUGGGUGUCAGGGCAGCUCACUGCAGGGCUGUCUGGGCAGCUUGUUUAGGUGACUUAGGCUGCUUGGCAUCUUAAAUGCCCCUUUGCUUCUGACGGUGCAGGUCCAAAGCCCAGGGGAAAUUUGAAUUAGGGCAAGACCACAGUAUCUGCAUUAAUUUGCAACCUGAUGUAAUAGAAAGAACAAAGAUUUUCAGUUAGUAGGUUCAGGUUCAAGGCUCAGCUUGGUCCACAUGAGCUCCAUGAAGUAAUUUAAUCUCUUUGGGAUUUGGCUUCGUUAUAAGAAAUCAUGUCUGUGUUGUGUAGCAAUUUAAAGCAAAAGAUAAGCAUCCUGAGGCUGAAAUAAUGUAUUCUGCUUCAUUUAUUCAUUCAUAUUACCUCACAGGGUCACUAGGAUAAUUGAAUGAGAUGGCAUGGACAAAGCCCAGGUACAGUGCAUGGCAGAGUAAGGGUUAGCUCUGUUCCAUUUUCUGUCAGAUUUUCUGUGGGUUUUGUUUUACUCUGCAAAGGAGAGAAGGAUAUGCUUAAGAGUUCCCAUCAUGGGAAUGCCCCAGGACUCUAGGCAUCUAGAGAAAGCCUUUUUGCUGGCUAAAUGUCAGCAAGGCAGCUGGAGGGAAGUGUCAGUCAUGACAUAGUCUGCUGUCUCCCAGUAAGUAAAGGGUAAGAAGCCCUGUCUCAAUGCUCUCUAGAAAUGCUCAGCCAAUCCUCAAAUGGGCAGUAAUGCAUCACUAUCUGCCUUGUUUAAUGAUGGAAAUUAAAGGCAAAAACAAUAGCAACCAUGUCUGCAUUUUCAUAAGCAUUUCUUGCUGAUUUAAAUAUAGUCUGUGAAUUCUCUGGUCAGGAUGAAAUCCAAAAUACCUUCCAUAUCCACUUAGCAGAAUGGGCUUCCUGCCAGUCAAAUGGUUGUGUGGGGCCCAGAAAAUAAUUGAGAUGACAGUCCAGUUUUGCACUGGAGGUUAAAAUAUCAAAUUGUAUCAGUUCUAUGUCUGAUGUUGAUUCAUCCUGCCAGCUUACUGGGUUCUGAGGAUGACAACUAAAGCAGUGAACUGGCCAUGUUCCCACAUGAGGGCAUCUCUGAGUCAUGGCACUGGAGAACCCAAAGGCAAUCACAGCACAGGGUGAAGAUGGGAAAAGAGGAUGAGGCUUAAAGCCCAGGCAGAUCUGGCAGAAACUUUUCCUCUACCAGCAUCCAUGGCUGGCUUGGAUCAGUUCCUCAGGUUCUGAAAGGCAGAACACAAAGGAAGAUCCACAGCCCCCCUUUUCAGAUACAUGCAUUUCAUGACCUGCCACAGCUGUUCCCAUUUGGAAGAAUGGACAUGUGGUCCAGGUUGGAUCAAUGGCUUUCAUGAAAAUUCAGACUUCCUCAAACGGCUUCUACAAGUGUGCAUUGUGCCUCCCUUCAACCUCAUGUUGCAGAGAUCUCAACAUUCCAGUAGCAUUUGGUAUUGGUAUAUACUUUUUCAGCUAUUAAGAACCAUUGUUUUUGUUUGCUUGAGUUUUACAGUUAUAGCAAUAAACUUUGUUUCUAAACUUAACAUAAAUGAUAAAGUGACAAAAUGAUUAUAGCAUGUUUGCAGGGGGUACCCCCAAAAGACAUAUCUAUUCUAGCCCUUGGAAUACGUGAAUGUGAUGCUAUUUGGAAAAAGGAUCUUUGUAGAUAUAAUUAGGUUAAAGACUUCAAGAUGAGAUCAUCCUAGAUUACCUGGGUAGACCCUAAAUCCAAUGACAGAUAUCCUUAUAAGAGAAAGGCAGAGGGGGAUAUGGAACAUGGAGUGGAAAGCAAUGUGAAGACAGAGGCCGAGAUUGGAGUGACGCAGCCUCAAGCCAAGGAAUACCUGGAGCCACUGGAAGCUGGAGGAAGCAGGGAAGAAUGCUUCCCUAGAGCCUUCAGAGAGGGCAUGGCCUUGCGGAAACCUUGAUUUCAGACUUCUGGCAUCCAGGACUGUGAGAGAAUAAAUGCCUGAUGUUUUAAGCCAUGAAGUUUCUGGUAACUUGUCAUAUUGGCCCUAGGAAACUAAAAAGCUAUUAGAGUACAUUUAUAAUUAUGCAGAUAUUUAGCAUAUAUGUUAAAUAAAUAUAUAAAUACAUAUUAUGUAUCUGGG
rnacentral:lncRNA from 1 species